AGUCUCGGGGUGUUAUCACAUCAGAUUGCAAAUCUGAAGAGGCAGGCGCGUACCUGCCGGGGCUU
rnacentral:tRNA from 1 species